CGCGGGGUGGAGCAGCCUGGUAGCUCGUCGGGCUCAUAACCCGAAGGUCGCGGGUUCAAAUCCCGCCCCCGCAAC
rnacentral:tRNA from 1 species